rnacentral:rRNA from 1 species
UACGGAGGGGGCUAGCGUUGUUCGGAAUUACUGGGCGUAAAGCGCACGUAGGCGGCUUUGUAAGUUAGAGGCGAAAGCCCGGGGCUCAACUCCGGAAUUGCCUUUAAGACUGCAUCGCUAGAAUUGUGGAGAGGUAAGUGGAAUUCCGAGUGUAGAGGUGAAAUUCGUAGAUAUUCGGAAGAACGCCAGUGGCGAAGGCGACUUACUGGACACAUAUUGACGCUGAGGUGCGAAAGCGUGGGGAGCAAACAGG